rnacentral:rRNA from 1 species
AUACGGAGGGUGCAAGCGUUGUUCGGAAUCACUGGGCGUAAAGGGCGUGCAGGCGGUUUGGUAAGUCAGAUGAGAAAGCCCACGGCUCAACCGUGGAAGUGCAUUUGAAACUGUCAGACUUGAGUACUAGAGGGGAAAGUGGAAUUCCCGGUGUAGAGGUGAAAUUCGUAGAUAUCGGGAGGAAUACCGGUGGCGAAGGCGACUUUCUGGCUAGAUACUGACGCUGAAGCGCGAAAGCGUGGGGAGCAAACAGGAUUAGAAACCCUAGUAGUCC